UACGGAGGGGGCUAGCGUUGUUCGGAAUUACUGGGCGUAAAGCGCGCGUAGGCGGCUUUGUAAGUUAGAGGUGAAAGCCCGGAGCUCAACUCCGGAAUUGCCUUUAAGACUGCAUCGCUAGAAUCAUGGAGAGGUUAGUGGAAUUCCGAGUGUAGAGGUGAAAUGCGUAGAGAUCGGAAGGAACACCAGUGGCGAAGGCGGCUCGCUGGACCGGUUCUGACGCUGAGGCGCGAAAGCGUGGGGAGCGAACAGG
rnacentral:rRNA from 1 species